rnacentral:rRNA from 1 species
AUGCUCUCUUUGCUAUGUUUUGGCACAAAGAGCCAGACAUCAAGUACUGAGUGUGCACAAUCAGCAAGACGUUUGCCAAACCAGGCUAGUAUAUGUAUUUUCAGGCACGAAGAGAACCUGCUGGACUACACUAAUCCAAACAAUGAUACACUCAUGGUCAGACUUGCAAAUGGCCGUCUGCUCACCGAAUGUCGCAUCAUGCUAGGAACUGACAAGAGGGCCACUAUAACCACCAACUGGUCUGAGUUUUGUCGCCGCACCAACAUUCACGAAGGAGACAUCUGUGCAUUUCAUUUCAGGAUCACUUCAAAGUGCCGCCUGGUUCUCACCGUGCACCGCCUCUAG